CCACAAUAUUAUGCAGUUGGAAAAAUAUUAAUGUAUAGAAGUUCAUUUUCCAUUUCAUCCAGCCUCUCUUUUAGGAGAGUCGCGUUUAAAUUCUCGCUAAUUAAUGCUGACCUGAGAACAAUAAUGCGAUGCAACAUUCCAUUGUCUAACGGUUGACUCAUAUUCCUAAGUGGGUCACAGCAGAGAUCGAGGGCGCAAAAUAAAAUUUCUGACAUCAAAAAAUUAAGGACACUUAAUUUUAUGCGUGAAAAAUAAACGCUCCUCCGCAGACCGAGAGGAGAGCUGUAAAAAUAGCAGAAAUUGAAAUUCUCUCGUUGUUUUUAUAAGAUGCUUGCGUAUGCAAAUUCUUCGAAACCGGAUAAAAUGUAGAAGUUCUGUAUUUGCAUAUCAUUCUGUACAUCUCAUAACAAAGCCUUGGUCUCCCAUUUGUUUCUGAAGAAUACACAUUGGCGUUGCGAAAUAUAUGUGAAAAUAUCUUUAUGCAUGAUCAUAUCCAAAACAUUUACUCCUACGAUGUCGUGUUCUGACACAUUGUUGGGUGAAGAAUCAAAUCAUAUGUACAUUGUUUAAUGGUAUGACUUUGUUAUAUUUGUAGUUUUUACGGCUAAUGCGAUCAUCCAAAAAAA
rnacentral:misc_RNA from 1 species